CACAAGCGGUGGAGCAUGUGGUUUUAAUUCGAAGCAACGCGCAGAACCUUACCAGCCCUUGACAUACCGGUCGCGGACACAGAGAUGUGUCUUUCAGUUCGGCUGGACCGGAUACAGGUGCUGCAUGGCUGUCGUCAGCUCGUGUCGUGAGAUGUUGGGUUAAGUCCCGCAACGAGCGCAACCCUCGCCCUUAGUUGCCAGCAUUUAGUUGGGCACUCUAAGGGGACUGCCGGUGAUAAGCCGAGAGGAAGGUGGGGAUGACGUCAAGUCCUCAUGGCCCUUACGGGCUGGGCUACACACGUGCUACAAUGGUGGUGACAGUGGGCAGCGAGCACGCGAGUGUGAGCUAAUCUCCAAAAGCCAUCUCAGUUCGGAUUGCACUCUGCAACUCGAGUGCAUGAAGUUGGAAUCGCUAGUAAUCGCGCAUCAGCCAUGGCGCGGUGAAUACGUUCCCGGGCCUU
rnacentral:rRNA from 1 species